rnacentral:lncRNA from 1 species
GCAAUCAUAAAAUAACUUUAUUGGUCAGGUUAGCCACCACUCAUGCUUUUCCUGUAAUAAGGAUCCUUUAUAAAGGCAUGAUGGUGUUCACAUGCAGAUGCUUUCUGAAGAGCCCUGGGGCAGGGGGCAGCCUUGCCCCUCACAUCGGAGCUCCUUUGUUGAAAUGAGCUGGUUUGGCUUUUGUGGAUUCCAGGUCUGGAGCCAAGAACGUAGUCCAAAGAUCCCCUCUUCCCUUCUCAGGGAAGGUGCUUCAAAGCAUACACAGUAUCAGGGAUGUGAUGGCAUCUGGGCAGAGCCUAUACUUGGGCUAACUCUCCUCCAACAGUCCUUGCCCCUGACUGCCCAGAUGGCUUUGUCCCAACCUUGCCCAAAGGGCAGGUGGGUUAAGCCCCAGGCAACAUUACCUUUUGAAAUGGGAAGAAUUAAGUGCUCCCCAGCCAAACUAUAAAGCAAAAGCCACCUUCACUAAUGAGGAUAUAGCUCAGAGAUGUGAAAGCAGAGGGUUGUAUGCCCAGCACAGGCAAGAUUUGGCUGCCUGGCCUGGGCUUCACGGACCCCAGCCAGAGCUGGUACUUUUUAACUAUGGCCUUAGGACAAACCAGGUGAAACAGAUUAACCACAUCCUCCUUCUUUGGGCUAGCAAGUCCAGGGCUGCCUGGAGUCUGUCUCUACCAUCAGGAUAUAGAAUCUUCCUGCUUGGAUAAAAGGAGAGGACAAACUGUGUUUCUCAUACUUUAAAAACCAUGUGGCCGCUACCUUUGUGGAUAAAAACCCAGGUAGGAUGCUGUUUGGAAUGCAGAAAGUGCUGGGCAAGAAUGGAACUACUGGGGCUGCUUUCUCAACUCAGCCAAUUUGAGGUGUGUUUGGCCCAUUGCAGAUGCUGAUGGUAAGCAAAGUCUGGCCUUUCCUCUUCUGAAGUCUUAUCCACCUUCAAAGAGCUACCCAGCUGCCAAAAUAUAGCCCUAUACAUUGAUCUAAAAGUGACUCCUGGUGUCCUUUCACCCUCAGACACAGUGUGGGUUGUCUCCACAGGUUGCUGGGCAGAUGCUCACAUGCCUUGGGGUCUCCUGACUCUGCUUAAGGCACAGAAGAGGCAUCUGUGGAGGAAAGUGGAGUGGGUGAAGUGGAUUUCAGAAGAGGCAGCUGGGCAAGAGGUAUAUUUUGAGAAGCAACAAAUGGGAGCCCAGAGUAACUGCACGACCAGCCCAGCACAGAGGGAGAGCUGUCAAGUGCUGCUCACAGACAGCCAGGGAUUGUUAGAAAAGUAUGGUUAUAUACUAUUGCCCAUGCCACUUUUGAAGUUCCAUGACCUCAGAUCAUUGGGAAGAACUUAAGAGCCGUGAGAUUUAUGGGGUUGGAACAUCCAGGGAUCCUUCCAUCUACCACCACUUCUGUCCCUGGAAAAGAGUGAGCUUCUGCCUAUGUCCUCAGCAGAAGGCUGCCUGUCCCUGAUCGCCCCCCCUAACCCCACCUACAGGAAAGAAGACUACAGAGGGUGCCCGUGGACUUCUGUCACAUGGUCCAUCCUGGACCUUCCAGCAAAAGCCAAACCAAACCAUCAAGCCAAAUGCCACGGGGGCUCUCCGCCCAGUACCCGGUGCCAGGGCUGCUCAGAUCUCGAUGAGGCUGGCAAGGCGCAGGCAGAGGGGCGCGUCGGCAGGCAUGGCGCUGCGCUUGAUCUCGUUCCCGUCCAGGCGCAGCACCUGCAGCUUGGAGAAGUUCACGACGUCCACCACGGUGCAGAAGCUGCUGAUGGAGAAC